rnacentral:lncRNA from 13 species
AUGUCCUCCACCAGAUCGAGGAGGAUGUGCCACCGAAGCUGCUCCAUCCCUCCACCUCCUGGGAUGCCACAGGAAGACUCGCCCACGAGUUUCUUCCCCAGAGCACACGAGAGCAGGGCUGCGGCCGGCAGUGGCAGGCUAGGAAUCCAAUGCAGGCAACUUAAGCGCUCGGGGGGCCAGGCGCGCCCGCCCCUCUGGCACAGCAAAAGUUGUGGAGGCCGCCGGCACGCACAUCGACCCAGCUGUGCGCCUCUCCCCCUAAACCUCGACUUCCUACGAAACCUUCAACUUUCAGUGCAGAUCCCGACCGCAGCCCCGCGGCGACACUCACCUCGGAAACGCUGCCUGGACUUCACGGUAAAGCUUCACUUAGCGCGCCGCCGACGCACCGGCCCGCGCCACCGAGCCGCCCGCGACUACCGCGACGCUGAUGCCCAGUCACUGCCGACGCACCGACCGAGCCUCGGACGCCGCUGUCUCCCCACAGACUCUCUGGGCGCCCCCGACGCGCGGUCGCCGCAGACCCUCUGGACGCUGCUGACCGGGACCGCGCCGCCGACGCCACUGACGCUGUGGCGCCUGGGACUCCGCCGAUCCGCUGACCACUCGCGGCCGCCUCCGACUGGCCUACCGCGCGACCUACACUCCCGACGUGCCGACUGCACCGCUGAUUCCACCCGCGCCUGCGACGCCGCCGCAGCGCCUCGGAUGUCGCCUUCGCGUGGCAGAGACCGACCGCGCCGCGAACAUCCCCAACAUGCCAGAGACGCCCACUACGCAGACCGCGGCGCGUACAUCCCCGACGUAGUGACCGUUCCUGGGACGCCACCAUCGCGCCGCAGACCUCGCGGACGCCGUCAGCGCCGGGGACCCCACCGCCAAACCGAUGACCGCGGCGCCGAUGCCACUGACCUUUUGCGCGGCUGGGAAGCCGCCGAACCGCUAACCGCGCCAUGGAUGCACCUGACCAGCUUACUGCAUCGCCUACAUUCUGCACGCGCCGAACGCGCCUCCGACGCACCGUAG